rnacentral:rRNA from 1 species
GACAGAGGAUGCAAGCGUUAUCCGGAAUGAUUGGGCGUAAAGCGUCUGUAGGUGGCUUUUUAAGUCCGCCGUCAAAUCCCAGGGCUCAACCCUGGACAGGCGGUGGAAACUACCAAGCUGGAGUACGGUAGGGGCAGAGGGAAUUUCCGGUGGAGCGGUGGAAUGCGUAGAGAUCAGGAAGAACACCCGUGGCGAAGGCGGCACUCUGGGCCUGUACUGACGCUGAGACGCGAAAGCGCGGGGAGCGAACGGG